GACGAACGCUGGCGGCGUGCUUAACACAUGCAAGUCGAACGAAGUGGCGAACGGGUGAGUAACGCGUAAUCAACCUGCCCUUCAGAGGGGGACAACAGUUGGAAACGACUGCUAAUACCGCAUAAUGAAGGAGGGGAUUGCGUCUGAUUAGCUAGUUUGAGGGGUAACGGCCCACCAAGGCGAUGAUCAGGAGUCCGUUGGAGAGGAGUAACGGCCACAUUGGGCCUGAGACACGGCCCCGACUCCUACGGGAGGCAGCAGGGGGGAAUCUUCCGGAAUGGACGAAAGUCUGACGGAGCAACGCCGCGUGAGUGAUGACGGCCUUCGGGUUGUAAAGCUCUGUUAAUCGGGACGCGGUACCGGAAUAGAAAGCCACGGCUAACUACGUGCCAGCCGCCGCGGUAAUAC
rnacentral:rRNA from 1 species